CAGGGUUUAAUCCUUCCAUGAAGCUGCGCACGCCUCGGCCUUGCAUCCGUCUCUCCUUCCCAGGCCUCCCCGGCCCGGUGUGGGGCGGUGUCGUCCGCGAGACGCUUCCCUCCAGCUCGAAUGUCCGGCUUUCCAUUCCCCCUUAACUUGACGUGCUAGGCGACUAAUCCCUCUGUAUACUUGCCUUACAACUCCUUGUUACCCAUCCCUGAACCUCUGAGACUCCAUUACACCGCGGUACGAGGACUUUUUGUUGAUCGGAUCUUUGCCGGAGACUCUGAGUUGUUCGGAUUCUCCUUCAACAUGAGCUAAGACGGUCAAUCAGAACCAUAAAGGAAAAUGGGCAAUUUCGGAAAUGCUGAUCCCUUAAGUUAGU
rnacentral:lncRNA from 1 species